GUAAAUGCUGUCUACACAUACCCAGAGGGUCUAAACAUAAACACAUGAGAACAGAAAUACGGUCUUUGGAUUUUGUUGAAUUUUUUUAUUUUUGUAGUUUUCUUCAACACUCGCCUCCCCGGUAGGGCCUCAUGUCUGGGCUCUGUAGCUGGGAAAUCAGGACAGACUGGCCUUCAGGUUCCUUAGUUGAAACAUGAUAUCUACUGAGGAAAGAUCCUAACAAGUGAGGGAUAAAAGAAGGGGAAUUCCAUCAACCUAAGUAGAUAGGUAAGAAAGUCUUGAGUAAAACUUGUAUUUAAAUACUACAGUUAGAAUGAAAAAGGCUGGGGGCAGCAGGAUGUAACAUGUGGAUGAAAGUGAAAGAAGAAAGCAGAAUGGAAAGUUACAGAUUAAACUGUUUAGACUUUAAAGUGACCAGUGACCAGAUUCACUCUUUAGUUUUUUUUUCCAGCAGAGGUAUACACGAGGUGCAUGCAUAUUUCUAAGAAUGUUAUUACCCCACAAGUGCACGUUGUAAAUAUUAACCCUUUUUUCAUUGUCAUUGUUAUCAGUGUACAAAAACAACGAAAAUAUGAACAAAAAGAGCACACAGCUAAAAUUAGAAACUAUUGGAGUGGAGUACACAGAAGGCAGAACUAUGGAAGAAUGCAAACAUGUACAGAUUUACCAAGGACUUAUAAUUUACUGUACAAUUUGACGAUUGUGGGACCCUGCAGCAUAUAUUUUAGUGCACAAGUGAGCCCUUGACAGAACAUAAAAAAUACAGUAAAUGUAUUCCAAGUUUAUCAAUAACCCAAUGGUGAAUAUUGUCUGCACAUACAGAAUACAGCAUAUUUCUGCAUAAUUAUAAUUUUCCUUUUUCAUUAUGAUGACAAGUGAAUUGCUGGUGUUGCUUAUCUGUAUCUACUUUUGUUGUACAAUCGUCUCACAGUACAUAUAACUUAAAAAACAGAAGGUAUGUAAAUAAUUUACCAUUAAAGAUUACUUUCCAUUCCAAGCACAAAUGCAGAAAGUACUAAGAUCAAAAACUUUGUUUUCAAGCUGGAUCCGGAAGGAGUAAUCUGAGAUGGUUUUAAAGGAAAAUCCCUUUAUAUCUGGAAUUUCCCAAGGUAUACUGAAAUCCCUUGGACAUGUUAGGUAUGGGGCUGUGCUGAACGAAGGAACUGUAGCAACAAGCAGAUUAAACAGACAAUGCUUCUAUUACUUACUGCAGUGGGAGGUGUGCCACAUGGUACAUUUUCAAAACCCUCCCUGAUGUAAAAAUAGGUUUGGAAGGUAACAGUUCAAGUUUUAAAAUGUAGUGGCCUUAAUUUAUGUUGAAAAAUGUCUGAAUUAGAUCUGCAAUAGUGUGUGGUGCAUUCCUGCAUGACAUUUUGAAUUUGAAUUAUUCAUUAUGGUGCAGUUAAAGUUUGGACAGUGCUGGGUUUGUGUCCUGGUUAAUAAUGUUUGCACUGUAAAAUGUAGUAAACUUGGCGCUAUUUUCUUCCUAUUUAGAAAGUAGCAGUAGGCCAAGCCUGGAAAUACAUUGUAACUUGUAUCUUUAUCUACAGUAUAAUGGCCCCUCUGUAUUUCCUGCAAAAAAUGUAACAUACAUAUGUUUUUUUUUUUUACUCUGAAAAUAGGCCAGCAGGAGUGAUGAAACAGUUAACAACAAUCAAGCAAAUUCCACACUUUUCUGUGCAAACAGGAUGUCUUGCUGAAAUCCCUGGAGUACACCUAAAAGGUCUAUGAGUCACACAAUUAGCUUGUGUUUAGUUUCAACGCCCUUACAGACUGUGCCAGAGUUUUUAAGUAAAUAAAAAUUGAGCAAUUUCUUGGCAUUCAUUCUUUUUGUAAUGAAUGUGCAGCAUAAGAACAUUGCCCAGUACAAUACAAUUAGGCUCUGUUUCCACCUUUUUAAAAUGCAGUUAUCAUUUUACAGUGUGGAGGAGGCAUAUAGAUAUUUUUUUUUGGGGGGGGGGGGGUUUGCUGGAAGGCUAAUUCAAUGAUUUAAUUGUGAAUUAUUUGCAAUUGUAGCAUAUCUUUAGUAGGUAGCAUGAUUGCUUCUUGGAUCUACUUACAGUAUGAUUGUAUGCAACUGAGUACUUUGUGCUUGGUGUUACCCUUUAGAGGUCUACAAGCAAAUAUUGGUCUGUGUCAUUAAUCCCACUAUAUUUGUCAGAAACAUCACAUACAUUAAAGAAUGUGUCUGCAGAUCACAAACAGUAGCUAAAAAAAACUUCACUUAAAGACUAUAGAUGAGCGACAGGAGCUCUUUCUGAACUAGAGUGCACACUUACUUGGGGAUACCAGAAAACUGGCAUUUCAGUCUUCAUUUUUUAUCUCAGUCGGAAACAGUACAGUUGAUCAAUCGUUCCGGAUUUGCUAUUGUAUGAAAAACAUACUAAUAUUAAGAUAAAAAAAAUGUUGGAAUGUGUUUUGUUUAGGUGACAAUAGAUUAUAUGUUGCUAUUUUAAGGUGUCACUCUGAAAAGCUGGUAACCCUAAAUGCACACUUGAAUAACUAAAUACUGUACCUUAAAAUGCACUUUCAGUGUGUAGUAGCCUGGUGGAAUUUCCAGCAGCAAGAUUUAUAUGAGUAGUAAUGUUUUUACUUAUAUAUUCUACAUUUCUCAGUACCUAUGUGAGUGGUGCAAUGCUACUGUAAUCCAUAUUAACCUGUAUUUAGUUUACAGUAAAAUACUAGCUUGACAACAUUUGUGUAUUUUAAAUCAUCUGGUUUAAUCUCAUUAUUAUUGCAAACAUAUAUUGCAUGUAGUCACACUGUAAGAUAAUAAUCUUUUCAACAUCCUCCUUCGGGGACUGCCUGUCACUACCUGCCCUGGUUUGCAGACAUGUGCUGGCUGAACCCGUAUGGGAAUGCAUACUGCGUAAUCAGGUUGUACAUAGUUUUCCUACCCCCGGGGAACAACUGCCUUCCUGAUCUUUAAGAAGGACAACCACCAUAGCAGUGCAACUUGGAAACUUGCCACAUUCUCAUCAAAAGCUUAAACAUCCUGCUGAUACUUGAACUCAUAAGGUACACAGUGUUAUGCCAGCACUGAGAUAAGUAUUUAUGACAUAUCUACAUUAAGGCAGCAACAGUAAAGUAAUUACACAAAUUUGCACAGCAAUAGACGCAGUUAACAUGAUAAAGUGGACUAAUUUGAAAUAUUCUUUGUACUUCUGGAACAUUUAAAAAUUCUCCAAAAUUAGUGACUCGCUGGUCCUGUCCAUAUUAGAACAUUUAUUUUAAAAUCUUAUACAAAAGGUACACUUGUUUCCAUUUCAGAUAAGUUCAUGGACAAUAAAAUGUAUUGCUUUGAUUUCA